UACGAAGGGGGCUAGCGUUGCUCGGAAUGACUGGGCGUAAAGGGCGCGUAGGCGGAGUGUUUUGUCGGGCGUGAAAUUCCAGGGCUCAACCUUGGGGCUGCGUUCGAGACGGGCAUUCUGAAGUGGGGAAGAGGGUCGUGGAAUUCCCAGUGUAGAGGUGAAAUUCGUAGAUAUUGGGAAGAACACCGGUGGCGAAGGCGG
rnacentral:rRNA from 1 species